GACGAACGCUGGCGGCGUGCUUAACACAUGCAAGUCGAACGGAAAGGCCCUGCUUUUGUGGGGUGCUCGAGUGGCGAACGGGUGAGUAACACGUGAGUAACCUGCCCUUGACUUUGGGAUAACUUCAGGAAACUGGGGCUAAUACCGGAUAGGAGCGCCUGCUGCAUGGUGGGGGUUGGAAAGUGUCGGCGGUUGGGGAUGGACUCGCGGCUUAUCAGCUUGUUGGUGGGGUAGUGGCUUACCAAGGCUUUGACGGGUAGCCGGCCUGAGAGGGUGACCGGCCACAUUGGGACUGAGAGACGGCCCAGACCCCUACGGGAGGCAGCAGUGGGGAAUAUUGCACAAUGGGCGGAAGCCUGAUGCAGCAACGCCGCGUGCGGGAUGACGGCCUUCGGGUUGUAAACCGCUUUCGCCUGUGACGAAGCGUGAGUGACGGUAAUGGGUAAAGAAGCACCGGCUAACUACGUG
rnacentral:rRNA from 1 species